CUUGCACAGGAAGAUUUAACUGUGAAGAACCUGCUGCGAUGUGUACAUCUAUAAGGGACGUUUGUCUUUCUGUGAACAUAAUUAUUGAAAAUAAAGGUAAGUGUACUUCAAGAUUCCGUUAGUAAAUCUGUAUAUUUUAUUAUUGCAAGAUCAGUAACAUAAGCAAUGAGACUAAGUAAAGCUCUAUAUGUCUGUCAUCCUUAGACCCCAUUUCUGGUGAAUUAAGUUUUAUUGAAUUCUCCAGCCUGACCAUAAUCUAGAUUACUUCUAACUGUUCUGCUUUACACCCCACCAUCAAAUAUUUGUGGUUUUUUGACCUCGAAAAUUAUACUUAGUUUCUAUGAAACCCAAAGUGUCAGUUCUGCUAAAACACUGUGCUUGUUAUUAAUGUGUCAUGGCAUUCAAUCCUACUGUCCUACAUUGUGUAGUCUUCCUCUAGAUUGUUUUAUUUGCUAGAGGACCCAUUGUGCCUUUCAGGUGUGCUAGGGCUUACAAUUCAUAGGGAUGUGUUUAUUAUUAUUAUUAUCACUGCCCCUUAAACUAUGGAACACAUAAUUGUUCAAAAUGGAGGACCUAGCAAAAAGCAAGGAUUUUUCAUGGAAUUGACAUGGAAAUGUUAUGACAUAGUGUGUAAAGCAAAAAGAAUGUAAAGUCUGUUCCACAUUCACACCAAAAUACAAAAAGCAUGGACAAAGCAAGCACUGUGCGUUUUAUGUCAAAAUCCAAGGGCUCAUCCCAACCUGGUCAGUAAAUAUCUGCUUUAAACUGUUACUACUGGCAACAGCUGGUAGCUAGCUAUUACUAGAUACUAAUUAUCUGUAAACCUGUAAAAGAUACUAAUUAUCUGCAAACCUCUAAAAGAUAUCAAUUACCCGUAAACCUGUCAAAUACUGUCUCCCAUCUUUUUGCUGAUUUAUAAACUUGCUGCUAAUUUUUAAUGGCUAAACGCUACUUUUAACGAACAGUGUUUCUUUACAAAUUUCACAGUAACGGCAGGGAGUUACCAGCUCAGAUAAGGGCUCCCAUUAUUCUUUACGGGAGCCUCUACCCUCUACUUAGUGAAUGGUUUCUGACUGGUUACCAACCCAGUCACUACUCAUUAUUACCUGCUGCUAACCCAAAUAUCUUACCAUCAACCUUAGAGCAUAUUAAACCUUAUCAAAGAGAAAUAAAAUAGAUCAGCAUGCCACGCACAACUUCAAAAAUAAUAUUAAUCUUUACAUAACUAAAGUGCGUGCGUCAAUUUGAAAGCUUCACCGGCAUAAAAACGCAUCCAUAUACAUGAACAUCCACCCAAAAAUUAAAGCAAGAAUUAGGACCCACAGGAAUAUCGUACACACGAAUACAGAGGACAACAGGUGUUCAUAGAAUUGUCUAACAACUCCUUAAGUUCGGUUCAAAACAAAACGUAAACAAAAGCUUGAAUUUGCACUUUAUGUCUGUUCAACAAUAAUUCACCUCUUUUAUAUUAAGUGCACCCACACUUGUUAUAUAUCAUUUUGUUCAGGAGAAACAGGGCUUUCAUUUCAUAUCAACUAUCAACUAUACAUGAAAAGAUUUAUUGUAAACAAAAUCUUAAAAAAGUAUGACCCAGGAAUGAGAAAAAGCCCAUGAUGACAUGCCAUUAGCAAAAGUAGAGAACCCAGGGUAUUCAAUAUGGGGUAUGUCCAGUAUUUUUAAGUAGCCACUUAAUUAUAAACACUAGCCAAAGUUAGCAUUCAUAUUUGGUUUUGUGUGAAAAAUGCAAAAAACAAUUAUGAACUCUAACUUUGGCUAAGUGGCUACUAAAAAAGACUGGACAUGCCCCACUUGCAAUACAUUGGGUUGUCUACUUUUGCAAAUGGUAUGCCAUCAUGGGGGUCAUUUUCAUUCCUGGGCUACCAUAAGGUCUCAAAGGCAACAUGACCAGUCUUGCAAAUUUCAAUGUGUAUAAACAUUAUGAAAAAUGUACCGUGUACCACUAUAAAACCUGUACAUGGGGGGUACUUUUGUACUCGGGAGACAUCGUUGAAUACAAGCAUGUGUACUAUAUUGCAGUAACAGCUAACAGUAUUAUGACAUUCACAGUUAAAAUGUCAUGCAGAACUAAAAAAAAUAAAUCAAGGGGGUGGAGCCUGACCGCUGAGCCGAGAAGACGCAGAAGAGGACUGCUUCUGCUCUUUCAGGCAAUAAUCGCCACAAACAGUGCAUAAAUGACCCAAAAGGGACACUAUUCUAGAAGUGAACUCACGGGGCACACACUGAUACCAAGUAUGCUGUCAUCCCUUCAGAAAUCACCAGUGUGACGCUUGCGGCCUACCAAAUGGGUGUACGUGUGGGAGACGACCGCUCCCUGGCUGCACCCAAAAGCAAGAAGCUGGCAACUGGGCCCUCGUUCCCCCCCUAUGGACCAGCAGGGGUUGUCCUGGUCCAGAAAUACCCCUACAGGCUCAGGGGAAGCAUCCUCAAUUGGCACCAGCCAAACCCAAAAUAGCGGCGGAUGCCGCUGGGCCAUGAGACACGACACAGAGGCCUGACAUUUUCGCAAGGCUGGAUGCCAUAUUCGCAGCCUUCUGGAGGAAACUGACAGAACGGCAUGCCUGGGCACAUACUUACCGAAGGCACCUUCCUCACGCCCCCAACCACAGGGCACACCUCACAGACAGAAGCGAACACGAAGAUAGCGCCGCCCACAGCGACACCUAUAGCAUGAGUACAUACCCACGUGGCUUCGACCACGGAAGACGACUCUGUCACGAAUAACCAAGCCACCUUCAUCCAAGCACACCACCAUGUCAAUGCUCAAAACAAGAUCCAGUGACUUGGGUGGCAAUAAUUCCCAGGACGGCUAACUAAGGCUGCACGACCGCUCACAAGCCUGGGGCCGGAGACAUCCCUCACCCUGCUACACUACAGCUGAUCCAAGCAUAAACUCUUCUACACACCACCUGCCCUUGAGGGCGACAGGGAUCAGCUGAUCUAAUAUGUGAGCACACAUCCAGAACUUUAAUCUGUAUAAGGGGGCGGCAGACUGAGGGUCAAGCUACAGCAGCAUAGUUAUUUUUUUUUGUUGUUCACCAAGUUCGUAUUAUAAGUUAUAUAUGCCUUUAUCAUGCCUACAUUAUCGUAUCGAAUCAGGCCCUAUGUUUGGCACAAUAGGGUGGAGUGCCUCAUCACUUCCUAGAUGCCUGUAGUGCUAACUGUAUAGCAUCUGGUUUAGCAAUUCAGCAUGCUACUAAUCUACGUCAGUCAUGUAACUUUAUUUCGUGUUAACACACCUCUUGCUAGUGUUACUCGCAUUUACUAAUCUCCUGACUUACUCAGCAUUACUCUUACAUUUAAAAAAUGUGCAGUUUAAUCCUGUCCCAAUGUUAUCAUCUUUAAAAGGUCUGUAACUGCUAUUGUGGCAUUGCAGACGUGUUUGUACCUCUUUUUGCACAAUAAAAAUAAAAAAUAAAAAAAAUAAAAUUAAAACAAUUUUUAAUUUCUCACAUAUUUUAAAAUAUUUUUGUUCCUAUUAAAUUAUGUUUAAUAUAUAAAUAUUUGAUUUAAAAUAAAAGCCCUGUUUCUCGUCAACAAAAUUAUAUAUAAUAAGUGUGAGCAUUUAAAAUGAAAGAGGUGAAUUAUGGUUGAACAACAUGAAGCGCAAAUUCCAGGUUUUGUUUACGUUUUGUUUUGAUCUCAACUUGUAAAACUACCUCCAUCCUUAAGGGGUUAAAUUCUAUCUGUAUCUUUACUGUAAGAAAUGAAGCUUUUUUAGUUAUGAAGGGUGCUAAUCAAAUUUAAAUCUCUUUAGUUGGAAAAACGGCACCUCAAAAGGGAUAUGAUAGCAUUAUACAAAUAUAUUCAGGUCCAGGGGUGGGCUGGGCCGGGGGGCAGGGAGACAAUUGCUCCCAGGCUGCCCUAAAUAAUUAGAAAAAUGGCCGCUGCAGCGCCUGUCCCUGGCUCCAGGAGGAGGCAGGUACCGCGCGGAGCAGGCCAAUGGCCUGUCACAGGGAGCCCAGCAGGUGGCCAACUGGCCAUCUAGGGCGCCCUGGUAGCAAGGCCUGCUUGUCCCAGAUGGCAGUUGCCUACUCUGCAGCAAUAUACUGGCUGCGUGAGGAAGGGGGCAGGCGGCGAUGAGGGAGCACUGCCUCUGCUGAUGAUCUUCCUGCUCCCUCGCGCGCCCUCUCUGGUGAUGCCGGGAGCCGGAAUAUGACGUCAUCACUAAACUGCGCGAGGGAGCAGAGUGGAGCAGGAAGAUCAUCGAAGACACUGGACCCCAGGGAGAGGCCCCAGAGAACUCUUAAAGGUAGGCGCAACAAUAAAUAAAAUUAAUUUGUGAGGGUGUGUCUGGAAGUGAUUGUGUGUGUCUGGAAGUGAGGGUGUGUGUGUCUGGAACAAGUGAGUGUGUGUGUGUGUCUGGAAGUGUGUGUGUGUGUCUGAAAGUGAGUGUGUUUGUGUGACAGUGUGUGUCUGGAAGUGUGAGUGUGUGUGUCUGGAAGUGAGUGUUUGUCUGUCAGUAAGUGUGUGUAUCUGUCUGUCAGUAAGUGUGUGUAUCUGUCUGUCAGUAAGUGUGUGUGUGUUUGUCAGUGUGUGUGUGUCUGGAAGUGUGUGCAUGUGUGUUUGGAAGUGAGUGUGUGUGUCUGAAAGUGAGUAUGUCUGUCAGUAAGUGUGUGUGUCUGUCAGUAAGUGUGUGUGUUUGUGUCUGGAAGUGUGUGUGUGUGUCUGUCAGGGCCGUCUUUCUGCAUGGACAUGCUGGGCAGUUGUCCGUGGGCCCCACAGGCAUGGGGGCCCUACCGCGCUGCCCAGCAUGCCCGGCCAACAGGGGACAUCCUUUGAUCUCCCCUGCCGGCCAAUGGAGAGGUGGCCCUGUUUUCUGGCCUUGGGCCGGUGAGGGAGUUCUCCCAUUAAUCGGGGAGAGAGGUAGCUAGGACCCAGGGCAGCAGGACAGGCCGACCUGUAAGGCAGGCCGCUCCUCCCACAAGCAGGGUGUGUGGAGCGUUGCCGCGCAUUACCAUGGCAAUGCUCCACACAGCACUCACUGCGUGCAGGAGGACAGAAGACAGCCUGCAGCCAGACAAGCUGCAGGUUGUACAGAAUUCACAACUGGACCACCAGGGCUGGCUGUGUCCCAGCCUCUUUCACCAAAGGUAAGAAGAAUGGUGGGGGGGGCAUAUAGAUUUUAUUUAAUGUAUAGUAGUAUUAAAAAAACAAAAAACAUUUGCUACCUGCACCCCUCAAAUACACACACAGCACCCAACACACAUAUAUCACUCCACACACAUGCAGCACCCCACUCACAUAGCACUCCACACAGCACCCCACACACAUCACACCAGUACACACAUACACUGCACCCCUCACUGCAGUGUGUGUGUAUUCAGCAGUCUGUGUGUGUGUUCAGCCGUCUGUGUGUAUGUUUGUGUGUGUUUGCAUUCAGCGGACUGUGUGUAUGUAUUCAGCACUCUCUAUGUGUACUUAGUAGUCUGUCUGUGAGUACUCAGCAGUCUGUCUUUGUGUGUCUAUUCAGCAGUCUGUAUGCGUGUAUUCAGCAGUCGUCAUGUGUAUGUAUUCUGCAGUCAGUGUGUGACUGUAUUCAGCAGUCUGUGUGUAUGUAUGCAUUGCAUUUGUUGGAGGUAUUUCUAAACAUAUUCUUCAUUGUAUCUAUAAUUUACAUUUUUAUUCCUGUAAGUUGUGUAGGCAGGGCCCCAGUGCACUGCUUUUCCUGGGGGCCCAUAAUGCUGUUAAGAUGGCACUGGUGUCUGUCAGUGUGUGUGCCAGUAAGUGUAUCUGUCAAGUAAGUGUCUUUCAGUGAAUGUGUGUAUCUGCCUGUCAGUGUGUGUGUGUGUAUGUGUCUGUCUGUCAGUGAGUGUUUGUCUGUCAGGGUUUGUGUGUGUGUGUUAUUGAGAGUGAGUGCCAGUGUGUCUGUCAGCAGGGCCAGCCUUUGAGGUGUGCAAGCUGUGUGGUCACGUAGGGCGCCAUGACAACAGACGUGCCUGGUGGCCAACACAGUACACAAGUUUGGGACACCAGCAUAUUUAAUUUAAACGAUUCCCUGGUGGUCCAUUGGUCCGCACCAGCAGUAGGUGCAGUCAGAUCAUAUCCUCUCCCUUGUGGUUCCGGUGCUCAGUUAGUGAGUCAGAGCACAGGCUCAGAGAUUCUCAGCCUGCGCUCUAACAACAUUGAAAGUUGGAGCCGCAAAGGAGUGGGUAUGGCAAAAGAGCUACUGAUUAGCAUAACAUCAAUAUCCUUUAUAAGACCAGGAAAAGGUGGGCAUGGAUGGUGAGCUGAUUUGGGGGUGCAAUGGGCCACUCGACUGGAUUUGCCCCCCAGGCCUGAGGCUGCCAGCCCUCCCCUUUCAGGGCCAAUACAAGCCAUUGUCUGGAAAUCUAUUCAUAAAUAGGGCUGUACAUAGGACAAGAGGUCACACAUUUAGACUGGAAGAAAUUAGAUUUAGUCUAAGGCAAAGGAAAGGUUUUUUUACAGUAAGAACAGUAAGGAUGUGAAAUUCUCUGCCUAAAAAAGGUGGUUUUAUCAAAAUCUUUACAUAUAUUUAAACAGAUAUUGGAUAAAUACCUGCAAAACAUUACAUACAGGGAUAUACAUUUUAAAUUAGUGAGGUAAUGGCUUCUUGAUCCAAUCCUGGAACUGCUAUUCUGCGGUCAAGAAGGAUUUUUUUCCUAGUUUGUUGCACAAUAGGAAGCGCUUCAGACUGUUUUUUUUUUAGUUUUUCCCGAAGUGAGGUUUCUUAAUCUGUGGAAUAUUCUGCUAAACGUGAAACCACAGGCAGGGCCUAGACAUUUGUGGGAUAACUCGUGCCAGAGCCUUCUCCACAGAAGCGGUGGCUCAAUGUCUGGAGUUCUGAUGUUCUGCGCCUAUAAGGGAUAGCAGCAGUCAAUGAGAAACGUGCAUGUAAGGAAACAAUAUAAUACUAGCUAAAGUAUACACUUUUACAAAAACAUUUUUUAACUGAGGCUCUAAACAAAACGCCACAGCUGGAAAACAACCUCUCUUGCUUUGGUGCUCAACAAGAGUUGAAUGGGUAAUUUAGGGCAUAACAUAAAUUUAAACAUCAAUAAAGGCAAUCCCCACCAGAGGGCUAGACAUCAAAGAAAUUACCACCAUUAGAAUCUCAUGAUUUAAUGGUAUUAAAAAAAGCACUUUAUUUAAAUCAUUUUUGAGUAUUGUAAAAAGAAACACAAAAGGUGAAAGGUGAAACAAAGAAAUAAACAUACAUUUGAAGUGAAAAUGUGUGUAAUUGUUUAAUUAAAAAAAAAAAAUUAUGGGCGAGGAGACAGAAAUGUAUAUCUGGCUAAUUCACAAAUGCAGUGCUAAACACGUCAUUGAUUCUAGUAUACAUGAUAUCGAAACAUUUCCCACAAAUUACUUGCAACUUUGUUAUGGUUGCAGUAUGGUGGGAUACGUUCUUCGCAACAGUAACUUAAAAAAAAACAAAAAACACUACAUUAAAUCUAAAUUGCCAUUGCUAAGAUAAUGUGUAAGAUAAUCAUCAAGUUGAAUAGCUUUAUUAAAAGGCUUGUUAAGAAAAGGUUGGUCAGAGUCAGGGCUGAGUAAAAAAUUAGAAAUCUACCUAGAAAAAUAAGAGACUUUAACAACAUGAAGCCUCCUAUUAUGUAAUAAAAUGAUUCCCUAUAAGAAAAACAAAGUGUAAAAAAACUAAAGCUUAACAGUUUGCGUCUGGUUAGUCUCCAUUAAGAUCACAUGUUUUAGCUCACUUGUGCUAUAUCUGAAAGAUUAGCCUGUUAAUCUUGACUUGGCCUUUGUCUGGCAAAUAUUUUACAGUCACUCACACUUUCCAUGUGUAACGACAGAAAGUAAAAAAAUAUACUUUUAGUAGAAUAAACUUUUGCUCAUAAAAGUUUAAAGGUGCAAUCUUGUUUUUUCAGAAAUGAAAGACUCGGUUUACACAUUUGUGAGAAGCUGUAGUGACCCAAGUUUUUGUGGAAAUGUUGGGAAGAUGACAUCGCCCAACAUCACCGUUUCCUUCACCACAUCGUGCUGUAACACAGAUUCCUGCAUUCCGCCAGCACCGAUUUUCCGUAAGUAUCUUGAUGGAGAUCUCAUUAGCAGAAAUUAACAUCAGUUUUGUGGCCAACACGUUCCAAACCAGAGGUAAAAAAAAGAGUAAAUUACAAAUAUGUGCUAUUAUUAAUGGUAAAUAUAGGAAUACAAUAUGCAUUAUAUAAACACACAUUCUAUUUGUUGUGUGCUAUUUCUGAUUUUUUUUUUCUGUUAUAUGUUUGAUUGAGUGCAAGGACUAACAAAAAAAAAUACCUUAAAACUUGAUGUUUCAAUUUGAGGAAGAUUGUCCCCCAGUGGUAACACAUGCUUUAAGUCACAUUCUAGAACUUGAAGGUUCUUUCCAGCAGAGCCCACAGUAGAGAUUCCAUCUGACUAUGUCUGUUCGUGUCUAGUGAAAUAUAAGAUCUCUAAAGCUUCUGAUAUUAGGCAAAAUAGCAAAUCCUUUACAAGGAUCACCCAUUUUUCUUCUUCUCCUUCCUCAGAAAGAUGUGAGAUACAGGAGCUACACCAAUAGAUUACAAAUAAUAAAAUAUUAAUAUAGUACUAUCAUCCUGGGAGUAAUCUGCACCUUUCUUAGUGUCCCUCAUCCCUUUACCUCCAAGCUUUUACCAGCAGCCACCUAUUCUGAUACAUACUCUCCAGUUACUACAAGGUCCUCCUGGCAUACAAGAUAUCUAUUGUGUCAUGUGCAUUACAAGAGCACUUACAUAAAAUUAUACAUUUCCACUGAUACUCACAGCAGUUCCAGCUGCCAAUUUUCAUGAUGUCCUUGGGUGGCUACCUUUAGGAGAUAAUUCCAUGAUAUAAGCCACAUUGUAUGGUUAUGUCCAGAGAAUUCUGCAGUGUCUUGCUACUGUUAUGUAAUAGAACCUUACUGUUUUGCUUUAUCCCACUACCUUCAGGUGAUAUAUAAUCACCAGAUUAUGUCCAACUAUUCCUUGGGUCACAACAUUAUGGCCAUUUACUACUAGUACUAAAGAUGAAACUGCCAUAGGUGUGUGAAGAACAUUUCAUUUAGAUGUGCACCAAGAAAUUAUUUCCCUUAAUUCUUUUAAUAUUAUGUAACGAAAAUAUUUAUUAAAAAGACACUCCCCUCCAGAAACUACAGUCUGCUGUCAUCUGUAUGGUGUCAGUAGAGCCCCUACGCUAGAGUUGUCCCCCGUCAGUUUAGAGCCCAUUCACCACUCACUUAAAUUAAUAUUUCAGUAAGUGGCCCCCUUUUAAUUCAGGCCUACCCAUUCAUCGGCUUUGGCACACCACAAACAACUAGCUUUUACUCAAGUUUAUUAAUUUCAUAAAGCUUUUGUCCCUGACCACCCUGAUAUAUUUAUAUAUUACACCAGUAUUUCUUUCUUUUUUUGUAUACAUUUGCUACAUAUUUGUAUACCUUCCUGAUUGUAUACAUCUUUAACUGAAAUAUUUAAUCUGUCAAUGCUUCCUACAGCUGAAAAUGAGAUCAUUUACAACCAUUCCUCCAUGAAACCGAAUCUGUGCCCUACAUGUUUAGCCACUGAUACUAAUUUGUGCGUAGAGAAAUAU
rnacentral:lncRNA from 1 species